GAUGAACGCUAGCUACAGGCUUAACACAUGCAAGUCGAGGGACCGGCGCACGGGUGAGUAACACGUAUCCAACCUGCCCUUUACUCGGGGAUAGCCUUUCGAAAGAAAGAUUAAUACCCGAUGUAAAGGAUGGGGAUGCGAUCCAUUGGGUUGUGGGUGAGGUACCGGCUCACCAAGCCUUCGAUGGCUAGGGGUUCUGAGAGGAAGGUCACCCAGAUUGGAACUGCGACACGGUCCAAACUCCGACGGGAGGGAGGAGUGAGGAAUAUUGGUCAAUGAGCGUUAGCCUGAACCAGCCAAGUAUCGGGAAGGAGGAAGGCUUAUGGGUCGUAAACUUCUUGUAUAUAAGAAUCUGUAUCAUAUGAAUAAGGAUCGGCUAACUCCGUGCCAGCAGCCGCGGUAAUAC
rnacentral:rRNA from 1 species